rnacentral:rRNA from 1 species
CAGUCGCCGCGGUAAUACGAAGGGGGCUAGCGUUGCUCGGAAUGACUGGGCGUAAAGGGUGCGUAGGCGGUUUGACAAGUCUUGUGUGAAAUCUAUGGGCUCAACCCAUAGUCUGCAUAGGAAACUGUAGGGCUUGAGGGUGGGAGAGGUGAGUGGAAUUUCCGGUGUAGCGGUGAAAUGCGUAGAUAUCGGAAGGAACACCUGUGGCGAAAGCGGCUCGCUGGACCAUUACUGACGCUGAUGCACGAAAGCUAGGGGAGCAAACAGGAUUAGAUACCCCCGUAGUCCCUGUCUCUUAUAC